UGUAGCUCAAUGGUAGAGUGCUCGCCUAGCAUGCUUGAGGGCCCUGGGUUUGAUUCCCAGCA
rnacentral:tRNA from 1 species